rnacentral:lncRNA from 10 species
UGCUGAUGAGCCUGUCAAAGGUAAUUCUGUCAACUCUGGUAGAACACUCUGGGGUAUCUCCUCUACCAAUUCAGGAUGCAUCCCACCUUGUACCUCUGAUUUUCUUCUCCCUGGUUGUAAUCUGAGUUCCUCAGGUGCCUUACGCAUUGUUUUGCUAUCAAAGUAGAGAAGACUGUCUUCUAUGGUCACCGCUGACCCACUGGCCCCUACAAACCUGUUUCUCUGGCCUUGAGCAGUGGCCCCGGUCUUGUUGCAUCUUCUGCUGAUAGUGAUAUCACCACACGGCAUCCAGCUGUUAGGUCCAUGCUCCGCUGUGAUCCUCUGCCUCCAUGCCAGACCUUGUGUCUGUCUGCUCAGCCACUUUUCUGCACCUCUCAGAGUGUUCAGGAAUGCCUGUGUGCUUUUCCCCGAAACUCUGGGAGGCUAACCUCAGACUUGCCUGCAUAGACAUCUCAGCACCUGGGAACAGAGAAAGAAGGCUUUUAGCUAAGUGGACACAGAGAAAUUUUGUCAAACUCCACUGAAUCAUGACUAGCUUUGACUCUUCAUAUUGUGUCUCACCCAAUGAGUAAACUACAUGUGAAGUUGAUUUUGAGACUUUGGUGUUACUUUAGCUAUGAGUCUCUCUUUACUUCUAUCAAAGGACCAGAAAUAACAACUCUUUCAGAACUCUCAUCAUUCAAGAUUCCUGCUGUUUUCCUUGAAUCCAAAUCAAAAGACAUUGUUUGGCACAUAACCCAUGUAUAAUAAAAGCUAAUCCAUCAACCUGACAGACAGCAUAAAUGAAAAUUAG